ACUCCUACGGGAGGCAGCAGUGGGAAUAUUGGACAAUGGGGGAAACCCUGAUCCAGCCAUGCCGCGUGUGUGAAGAAGGCCUUCGGGUUGUAAAAGCACUUUCAGUGGGGAGGAAAGGUUGUUGGGUUAAUACCUAACAGCUGUGACGUUUACCCACAGAAGAAGCACCGGCUAAACUCCGUGCCAGCAGCCGCCGGUAAUACGGAGGGUGCAAGCGUUAAUCGGAAUUACUGGGCGUAAAGCGUGCGCAGGCGGUCUGUUAAGCGAGAUGUGAAAGCCCCGGGCUCAACCUGGGAACU
rnacentral:rRNA from 1 species